rnacentral:misc_RNA from 1 species
CGUGGAUUUUCAUGUAAAAGCUUGCUGUUUAUACAACACAAAAUUGAAAAGGGGGGAAAAUCCAAUAAAUCCCAGAACAAAAUUACAUUAUAAUCAAAGAGACAUAAUGAUAGCUUUAAAAGCCCAAUGGUCCCAACAGAAAUGGUCCAUUCACAAGAACAAAGAGGAUUUGAGUAAUCCACAAAUUUGUUGAACUCCCACUUGGUUACUUAUUAUUGAAUUUGACAAAGAUGCCUCAUUAUGUUGUAAAGAUUUAUAAAUAAGAUAUCAAUUGUUUGCUUAUUGCCACAAGGACAAAAAUGAAAUUCUUACUACCUUUGCCAACAACAUUUUGAAAGAAUUGAAGAACUCUCUCAAAAUUAAUAAUGACAUUCAAAAUGCAAUAAGAAAAAGUUCAAGGAGAUAGUUUUCUUUGUCUUGAAGUAUCUAGAAAGGAAAAGUUUUGUCCAGUAUUCACGGCUGUUUUUGGGGGGCUAAUUCUCCUUAAACAUUCUCCAUUACAUUAUAAAAUAUAUAUAUAUAUAUAUUAGCCAAUUUAACAGCUACCUACUAUGUUAAUCUUCCAGU